UCCCAAACCCAUGUGAACAUACCUACAUGUUGCUUCGGCGCGGCCGCCCCGGCGCCCGGGACUCACGUCUCGCGGCCCGGAACCAGGCGCCCGCCGGAGGCCACAAACUCUUCUGUAUUUACAGUUUCUUCUGAGUGUGCCGCAAGGCAGAAAACAAAUGAAUCAAAACUUUCAACAACGGAUCUCUUGGUUCUGGCAUCGAUGAAGAACGCAGCGAAAUGCGAUAAGUAAUGUGAAUUGCAGAAUUCAGUGAAUCAUCGAAUCUUUGAACGCACAUUGCGCCCGCCAGAAUUCUGGCGGGCAUGCCUGUUCGAGCGUCAUUUCAACCCUCGAGCUCCCCUUGGGGAGCCCGGCGUUGGGGACCGGCAGUAACACCGCCGGCCCCGAAAUGGAGUGGCGGCCCCGUCCGCGGCGACCUCUGCGUAGUAAAUCCACUCGCACCGGGACCCGGGCGCGGCCACGCCGUAAAACCACAAACUUCCGAAUGUUGACCUCUAAUCAGGUAGGAAUACUCG
rnacentral:rRNA from 1 species